UGACGGCCAGCGAAACCGACCUUUUCUUUCACAAUCCCGAACACCCUAGGAUGCAUGGCAGCCGCUUACGGCGGAGCCGCCGGAGAGAGCAGCACCGCCUCCGCCGCUGGCAUCGGCGGAAGGUGGGAGGACCUGAACCGUGACCUUCUGGUGGCGAUCUUCGAGAGGAUGGGGGUGGCGGACCUCAUCGCCGGCGUCCCCUUCGUCUGUUCAUCUUGGCGCGUCGCCUCACUUGACCCCCUCUGCUGGCGGAACCUCGACUUCCGCGACUGGGAGUCCAUCUGCCUCCGCCUCUUCUUCCGCCGCAACGAGAUCCUCGACUUCGCCGACCUCCUCGAUUUCUCCAUCACCCGCGCCCACGAGCACCUCGACUCCAUCUAUUUCCCUGACUUCGCUGACGAUAUCGAUCUCCUCGACGUCUCCGAAAGGUGUCCAGAGUUGACUUAUUUCAGCCUCCCAAAUCCGCAUGUAAUGGAGCAUAGAUUCUGUGAGGCUGUCAGCAAACUUGAGUUUCUCAAGGGCAUGGCAGUGGACGAGAGUGUCAUCAACCGCGAAGUGCUUCAACAUGUCAACAAGUGCUGUAAAUACUUCACUGAGCUGAACGUGUUUGCUGAGAAUGUGGAUGAAGAGAAAGCAUCCAUCAUCUGCAAAUCUCUCCCAGACCUCCGGAAACUUGAGAUAACGAAUUCUGCCAUCUCAAGGCAGGCCAUAAUUACUUUUCUAGAUGAGUUGAAGGAUUUGGAGCACCUUGACAUUUCUGGGUAUGAGAAUUCUGGUAUCACAGAUUUGGUCCUGGAGAAGGCUUCACGCCUGAAGGUUUUCCUGUGGGACUCAAGAUUUGAGUUGGGUGAGUUUAUGGCCUGUUCAAAUAAUGAGGAGGAUGACUGGCUACUUCAGAGGUCUUGUGAGUGCAUGCUGGAUUCGAAGGUCAUGGAGUGGUUGGCAGAGCUUUCUUGAGACGUGUUUAAGCAAGUUGCAAAUUGAUUCUUUGUAGAUUGCAGGUACGAAUUGAUGAAAUUGCCUGGCACAUUUUGUUGUGUUUUGAUGUAUAUAUUUUGCUUGGAAGGUUUUCCUUUUUUAUUUUUAGCAAUACUCAGGAUUUAACCUCUAGCUUCUUUGAGGAGCAAAACUUUAGGGGUGGUUGGAAGGUUUUUCUCCAGUAAAAUUUGAAACAGUCGAGCUGAAUUUGCUUUAAAGGCACAGGGACCUACUGAUGAUUCUUCACCAAACUAUCAUUACCUUGCAAACGAAGCGUUGAUGGAAACUGCUGAUCAAUGAAAAACCUGAGCAUAUAAAUAUUUGCACUAGAGUCUUUUAUACAUGAAUGUUUCUUCUCAAAAAUAAGAGCAGUGUCUUUUUCUCCUCCA